CGGGCCUACACAUGCAAGUCGAGGGGUAACUAGAAAAGCUUGCUUUUUUGAUGACGACCGGCGCACGGGUGCGUAACGCGUAUACAAUCUGCCUUAUACUGGGGUAUAGCCUUUAGAAAUGAAGAUUAAUCCCCCAUAGUCUCUAGCUAUGGCAUCAUAGCUAGAGUAAAGGUUACGGUAUAAGAUGAGUAUGCGUUCUAUUAGUUUGUUGGUGAGGUAACGGCUCACCAAGACUACGAUAGAUAGGGGCCCUGAGAGGGGGAUCCCCCACACUGGUACUGAGACACGGACCAGACUCCUACGGGAGGCAGCAGUGAGGAAUAUUGGACAAUGGAGGCAACUCUGAUCCAGCCAUGCCGCGUGCAGGAAGACUGCCCUAUGGGUUGUAAACUGCUUUUAUAUAGGAAGAAACCUUGGUACGUGUACCAAGCUGACGGUACUAUAAGAAUAAGGAUCGGCUAACUCCGUGCCAGCAGCCGCGGUAAUACGGAGGAUCCAAGCGUUAUCCGGAAUCAUUGGGUUUAAAGGGUCCGUAGGUGGAUAAUUAAGUCAGAGGUGAAAUCUUGCAGCUCAACUGUAAAAUUGCCUUUGAUACUGGUUAUCUUGAGUUAUUAUGAAGUAGUUAGAAUAUGUAAUGUAGUGGUGAAAUGCAUAGAUAUUACAUAGAAU
rnacentral:rRNA from 1 species